GGGCUGAAGAAUUGGGUAAUUAUAUUAUAGGGAGUGGUUGUUGUUGUUUGACGCAGAUUUGAUUGAAGGUGUGAUUAAUUGUGAAAAUGAGAUUAGAUUUGUGAAUGAUGGGCAAUGGGUGUGAAACCAUUGAUGAGACCCUCAGACCCUAGGUCGCCGCUAGUGAGGAGGUGGAGGAGGCGGCGACGGGGCAGUGAGAUUGGGAUUGUCCUCUUACAUGAUUUGAACCUGUGCCAUGGGAAACCCCAAAUGGAUGAAAAUGAAGACUUAGGGGAGGGAACAAUGGUGAUUGUGAAAGAGAUGAGUGGACGUUUUGAGUGAUUGGCGGAGAAGAAUUAAGGGUUUGGAAAAAACAUGCCAAAUAUUUCAGAAAAAAAAGAAAAAACCUGG
rnacentral:lncRNA from 1 species